CCUACGGGAGGCAGCAGUGGGGAAUAUUGCACAAUGGGGGAAACCCUGAUGCAGUGACGCCGCGUGAGUGAAGACGUAUCUCGGUACGUUAAGCUCUAUCUGUAGGGAAGAAAAUGACGGUACCUGACCAUGAAGCUCCGGCUAACUACGUGCCAGCAGCCGCGGUAAUACGUAGGGAGCAAGCGUUAUCCGGAUUUACUGGGUGUAAAGGGAGCGUAGACGGCUGGACAAGACUGGAGUGAAAUCCCGGGGCUUAACCCUGGAACUGCUUUUGAAACUGUGCGGCUGGAGUGCAGGUGGGGUAGGCGGAAUUCGUGGUGUAGCGGUGAAAUGCGUAGAUAUUAGGAGGAACACCGAUGGCGAAGGCGGCUUACUAGACUGUAACUGACGUUGAGGCUCGAAAGCGUGGGGAGCAAACAGGAUUAGAUACCCGGGUAGUC
rnacentral:rRNA from 1 species